UUUGAAAGGGAUAAUUGUGCCCAGCAGAUCUUGUUUCUAACGCUUCUUAUAUAUAGUGAAAUACUGUAAUUUAACAGCUUGCUGGGGGAACAAGAAUUUGUUCCAGUUCCUGAUUUAAAUGUUUAUGCUAAUUGCUAUUUAUUGGCUCAGAUGCAAAUGAUAGGUUGGCCAAAGUGAAAUUUUAUGACGAGCAAACUCCCCCCUUUUGUGCAAAUUGAAAAAGUGAAACAAGAAGAGGAUGAAAUGAGCCGAAGAUGGUCUUAAUGGUUGCUUUUUAAUGGGGAAGAUAAAAUUAAGACUGAUUUACGUGGCCAACUCCCCUGUUUUCUCUUAUCAGCUCAUUUGGCAGGAAAAAUGGAAAAGUAAUUGUUCCUCUUUCAAUGUGGGCCUCAAACCAUUAUUUAUUGGCUGAAAUUAAUCGCUGUUUAUCCUUCAUUCACGUGGAAACCGCUCUAUCAGCAUUAUGAACCCCAGCAACUCAACUAGUCCCUUGCAAUUUAGCCAACAGCAAGUGCAGAUCCUGAUGAGCCGUGCCUUAAUUUUCUGGGCUGUGGGAGUUAAUGAAGACUCCUUUCUUAGGUGGACAUAUUUGUAUUUCUACAACAUUAAUAACAAAGGCCCACACUUUUUCUUCUGCAGCAUGUAAACUUUUUUGUGAUAGAGAAAAAAUAAGACAAUUCAUAAACCUCAACAGAGAUGAAAGAGAAAACAGACUGAAGACCAGCGUUUUCUUGUACAGUGAAGAUCCUUGUGAGCUGAAGAAUACAAUAGGCAACUCUCUAACUGCUUCACAAGAUGCCCUGUGCUAUGGAGUGUGUAGCACAAUUGUAAUGGCCUGCCACUGAGUACUGUUCACGUUUAUCCCUCUCUCCUUAUGUUUUACUUUCAUUGCAUCCACCUUCCAGCCCAGUACACUCACUAUGCCGGCUGCCCGUGCAGUUAAUGUCAAAAGGAAAGUAUGCGUCUGGGACAGACACAGCUGCAUCUUAUCUAAUUCUGCCAAAGGGAACCAACUGGUGUUAACAGUAUGCACUUCAGGCAGAAGACUUUUACCACUUCCUUUUUGAGAUGGUGCAAAGCAUCACCCAGCUCUCCUUUCCACAUAGCCAGGAGGAGAGUCAAAUUCUUCUCUUUCCAUUUUUUUUUUUUCCCAGCCCCAGAUGCCCUUGGAAAUAAGAUGUUUUAUUUCAGUAGUAGUAACAGUUGCUGGCUUGAAAAUAUCAUCAAUAAGCAGAUGCAGUUUAUAUCAUAAUAGAGCAAAAAAUGAAUUUUUAAGUAGAGACCGUAGGAACUGUCAAGCUGGUUCAGGGCUUAGGUGCACCUGGUCUCUUUCUGCACCUGUGACAGUGGCCGGUGGAUAGAGUAAGUAAGAAGGUGUGAAGCAGUCUCGUUUGCUUCUUUCGUCUAAGGGCCAGCUUGAUUUCUAAUUUGUCAAGACAGGCUUUACCCUGAAGCAUGAAGUUUAAAAGGUUCAAGACCAGGAAAAGCAGCAAGAGAUGAGAAAUGUGCUUCUGCUAAACAUUGGUUCUGAACAUCACUGUUCAGGGAUAUAUAUAUAUGCUUAGAUACAUCCACAUUGAAAAGCCAUCCUAAUUUUCUAGAUUUCCACGAGUUCAAAAGAACAUGUUAAAGCUGAGCAAGUUUUACAUAAAGCAAUAUGUGCAGCAACUUUGGCUAUAGUGAUGUAUUAGAUAACAAUAAAUAUUGGUUUUGUCUUUCUUCACUAAUUCUGUGAGGCAGAUCACUGGACCCAAUCUCAUAUUUUCCAUGAGCCGGAUCUAAAAUUACAUUGGAAGUCAAUAGAUAUUUUUCUACUGAUUUACAUGUGUUUUGGAUCUCGUCCAAGAUUGGCACGUUAGCAUUUUAGAAAGGGCAGUAGUGAAGUUGUCUCAGAUUUGUAAACCCACUAAUGAAUUUCCAGACUUAUGUUCAACUCACUUCUUACAGAGAGGGCAGGAAUCUGCGACAUAUGUGUAAAACUGAUAUGGGUAUCGAAAGCAAUUCAAAAUGUUUUAAUUAGUGAAUUAAUUUGCAGAUUAAUAUUUCUGCCUUAAUCAGUAUAUAAUUAGGAACCAGAAGAGAAUAUAAGCCUAGCUUUACAAUAAAAAAUAAUAAAUACAAGUAUUCUUAAGUUAUGAUUCUAAGCAGUAUAGAAGGAAUGGAUUCCCUUGCUUUUGGACAUGAUCCAGCUAAAACUACUUGCAUACAUAUAUUUCAGAACCCCAGACAGACUGAGAAUAUUGCUCUUGCAACAGGUUACACAAAGAAGCAAAGGCACAGUGUUAGCAAACCCUGAUUUUGAAGGGAAAUAGUAUUUAUGUGAAUAAGCUGACAAGUCAACAGUAUUCCUCCGAAGUCUCAAUGAUUCUUCAUCACUUCCAGUUUGAUGUUCAUGGUCACAUGUACCAAGAGCAGAAAAUAGUAAACUGUUCACAAAUGCAACUUUGGAAAUGUACCAUUUGGGUGCUGUACACUCACUGGAACAUAUAAGAUUUUUCCAUUUUAUUUCUUAUCUAAGCUAUGGCCUUUGUCCUGCUUCCAGUAAAUUUAGUGGGAAUUUUGCCAUUGACUUCAAUAAAAGUAAGUUUAGACCCCAAAGACAUUGGUUGUGGCUAUGUUACAGUUCACGUCUGCUUAUUGGAACACACUUCUUUUUUUCUAAUUAAAAGCAAGCCUGGGUCCUGGAGCUCAAUUCUGAUUACAAUUUGGUCCAGAUGUCUGAACUUGCUUGCCAAAAUGGAACUCAUAAUCCUGUACAUAAAAGCUUCGUUGAAAGUCUGAAUUUCAGAGAUAAUGACCAUGCAGUAAAAGCCAGUACCUACACUGUGUGUGCUGUGCCCCUGCUUUCAGGUGGAGGUUUAUGUGUUGUAAGAAAUCGUGGAAGGAUAUUUCUAUAUCUAGAAUCCAUCUGAACUUCAGUCUUGAAGCUAAGAACAAUUUCUAAGUUACAAGAUUAUCAAACUACAGUUACUUAUUUCCAGAAGUAAAUUCUUUCACAUCUCUUGAAUCCCAGUUGUCUUUAUUAAGAAGAGUAAGUUUAUCUUUUCAGUUUCCAGAAACAGUACAUGUUUGUUUUGUGCUGUCAGGGAGUUCAGCAUGAAUGGAGAAUUUCAGUGAAAAAGAAAAGCUGAUCUUUCACUGUCCGAUAGACUAAUAAGUCCCGUUGUCAGCGCCAAGGUGAGUUCUUGACUACUAAGAAUCACUCUUGCCACUGCAGGAAUGUGUGCUUCUACUUUGUCAUUCAAACUUCCAUGGCUUUAAGAUGAAAGACAUGACAAACAACAGAUCUGUUUAUUUUGACUUUACAGAUAUAUCAUUAAAUUCAGCAAUGUUGAUGUUAGCUGAGGACUCAGAAUUUUAUCAAUGGUUAAGAGCUGCUUUAAUAUUAUUUUUAUGAUUAAAAUAUUACAAUUAUAUGUUUUUCCUAUUUAAGAGUAUUGUCAUUAGUUUGUUAGAUUCCACUUGUGGACCUUUAACGCAGCUGUAUCAAUAACUGAAUUUUCUUUGGCCUGGCUGACCAUAGUCCUUUCCACCUAAAUGUCAUAAUUGAUUCUGAAUACACUCUGAUGCAACAGCACUUGGGUGAUAUAGGAGUCUUGAAGGGAUCUGGAAUUGGGUUUUCUUUUAUUUGUAUUGCACAAAGGCACUAGGUACUUAGGAAACACAAGAUAAUUGCCUGUGCUCCACAACAAAGCAUAUUCUCCGUAGAAAAAUAUAAUUCUAGGGAAAUGCAAGAAAUUUGUACGGAAAACUACCUGGGGACAGUGAAGCACUGUUACUGCUGUUUUUCCAGUUCUUGUCUCUUAUCAAUACUUUGGACAGUAAUUUUGUCUUAGAUUGUUGACAUUUGUAUAUAGAGAGAAUCUACCUAUGUGGAUAACUCGCUCAUAUCUAUUUAAUUAGAAAUUUUUAUGCAAUUUGAUAUGCUACCAUUUUUUGAAGGAGUCUUAAGAUAGCACAUUCAUGGAAGUGGGUCAUAGUAUAUCUCCAGAGCAACCAAACAGAACUCACAUGUGAAUGAACGUAACCUUCCAACAGAUGUUCUCAUUUUCCUGUAUCUAAAACUCAUGAAAUUUCCCAGGCAGCACAAAUAUUCCAACUGACUUCAAUAUGAGGAUGCACAAGUCUUAUAUGUGUAACUUGAAAGCAGACAUUGAUCAAGAUGAUGUAGAGCAUGCUGCAGAGGAUGAACGGCUCUGCUCUGAUCACUCCUUACUUG